rnacentral:rRNA from 1 species
GACAGAGGCCUCAAGCGUUAGGCGGAAUCACUGGGCUUAAAGCGUGUGUAGGCGGACGCCUAAGUACCUUGUGAAAUCCCACGGCUCACCCGUGGAACUGCUGGGUAUACUGGGUGUCUUGGGCCAUUCAGGGGGCAAACUGGAACAAGCGGUGGAGCGGUGAAAUGCGUAGAGAUCGGUAGGAACACCAGUGGCGAAGGCGGUCUCUUGGAGCACUCUUGACGCUGGAGGCGCGAAAGCUGGGGGAGCGAACGGG